rnacentral:rRNA from 1 species
CCUACGGGAGGCAGCAGUAGGGAAUCUUCCACAAUGGGCGAAAGCCUGAUGGAGCAACGCCGCGUGGGUGAAGAAGGUCUUCGGAUCGUAAAACCCUGUUGUCAGAGAAGAAAGUGCGUGAGAGUAACUGUUCACGCUUCGACGGUAUCUAACCAGACAGCCACGGCUAACUACGUGCCAGCAGCCGCGGUCAUACGUAGGUGGCAAGCGUUAUCCGGAUUUAUUGGGCGUAAAGGGAACGCAGGCGGUCUUUUAAGUCCGAUGUGAAAGCCUUCGGCUUAACCGGAGUAGUGCAUUGGAAACUGGGAGACUUGAGUGCAGAAGAGGAGAGUGGAACUCCAUGUGUAGCGGUGAAAUGCGUAGAUAUAUGGAAGAACACCAGUGGCGAAGGCGGCUCUCUGGUCAGUAACUGACGCUGAGGUUCGAAAGCGUGGGUAGCAAACAGGAUUAGAUACCCCUGUAGUC